rnacentral:rRNA from 1 species
GGCCAGCAGCCGCGGUAAUACGUAGGAUGCAAGCGUUAUCCGGAAUUACUGGGCGUAAAGCGUCUGUAGGUGGUUUGUUAAGUUGAAUGUUAAAUUUAUGGGCUCAACUCGUAAACUGCAUUCAAUACUGGCAGACUUGAGGAAGGAAGAGGUAAGCGGAAUUACAGGUGGAGCGGUGAAAUGCGUAGAUAUCUGUAGGAACACCAAUGGCGAAGGCAGCUUACUGGGCCUCUCCUGACACUGAGAGACGAAAGCGUGGGGAGCGAACGGAAUUAGAUACUCCGGUAGUCCACGCCGUAAACGAUGAUCACUAGCUGUUCGAGGUGUCGACCCCUUGAGUAGCGAAGCUAACGCGUUAAGUGAUCCGCCUGGGGAGUACGGUCGCAAGACUAAAACUCAAAGGAAUUGACGGGGGCCCGCACA